CCUCGAUGUGCCUCGCAAGCGACGGAGCUUCCUGCGUGACAACAAAAGUAGCCUACUCUCGACAGCGCGGAGCGCGGCGAUGGAUUUGCGCUUUUACCACUAGUGGGGAUUAUAAUACAAAUAUUGGAUUACUACUCUCCUUUUGCGGCACCAGAUGUUAUCACCAGUCACUUGAUCUGUCCCAGCAUGCCCCUGGAAAAGGACACCUGACCUCUGGCUGAUCCUCACCAACAGAAACAUUCUCCUGGAGCACUAGACUGAGGGGUGUUCCUUUCCCUGAUCUGAGACUGAGCAGAGAGCUGGUCUUUCACUAGAGAAGAGCACACAGGAACAACGUGAAAGACUGAGGGGUGUUCCUUUCCCUGAUCUGAGACUGAGCAGAGAGCUGGUCUUUCACUAGAGAA